UACGUAGGGACCAAGCGUUGUUCGGAUUUACUGGGCGUAAAGGGCGCGUAGGCGGCAUGACAAGUCACUUGUGAAAUCUCCGGGCUUAACUCGGAACGGUCAAGUGAUACUGUCGCGCUAGAGUGCGGAAGGGGCAAUCAGAAUUCUUGGUGUAGCGGUGAAAUGCGUAGAUAUCAGGAGGAACACCUGUGGUGUAGACGGCUUACUGGACCGCAACUGACGCUGAGACACGAAAGCGUGGGUAGCAAACAGG
rnacentral:rRNA from 1 species